CCAGACAAUUCAGUUUCUCCCCCUAUGUCCCUGGCACCUUUCAAGCUGCUGCCUCAGCACUAAAGCUCAGAGGGAAUGAGUACUUCAGUGAGUAAGUCCAUGCAUGAGCCUUUUAAGAAGCAUGUCUGAAACUGCAGCUGCCCUCCAUCUCACUCAGACACAAUCUUUGCUGGUUUUCACAACCAGAGGUUAUGGGGACUUCUCUUCCUGACACUUGAUCUCUGGAACGCCCCCUGGAGGAACCUCUACAGCUGAGAUAUCCUUUCCAAUUUUCAACUAAACUCAAGCUCGGCAAUCAAGGAUCAACUACACCCACUACAUGUGGGUGUGAGAUCAGACUGUUUCACAUCUCCCACCCUCCUACCAGUCUCAAGGUGGCUUCUUCUGUGUGUCCUGAGUUGUAAGACUUCUGUUCAGCUAGACCUCAUUUUCAAUGAUGGCUGUUCUGUAGUUUAGUUGUAAUUUUAAUGUGAUCAUGAUAGGAGGCAAGCACAGAGUUUACCUACUAUGCCAUCUUGACCAGAACCUGGCUUUUCUAGUUUUAGAGGUGCCUGCACUCCUUGGCUUGGGCCCCUUCUUUCAUCUUCAAAGCCAAGGAGUUCUCCAAAGUGGUUGCUCAGGACAUGUCACCAGUAUGUUGUGGUCAUUCUGGAGGGUGCAUAAUGAUUUUUCACUGUGGGUUUUUAAAAUUUUGGUGAAAUAUACCUAACAUAAAAUUAACAUUUUAACUAUUUUUAAGUGUACAGUUCAGUAUUAUUAAAUAUAUUCAUAAUGUUGCACAAUUAUCACCACCAUCUAUCACCAUAAUGCUUUCCAUCAUGUGAAACGAUAACUCUGACCCCAUUAAACAAUAACUUUCUAUUCUCCCCUCUCCCCAGCCCUUAGCACCCACUAUUCUACUUUCUGUCUCUAUGAUUUUGAAUGUUCUAGGAAUCAAAUGUGAAUGAAAUCGUACAGUACUUGUCUUUUUGUGACUGGCUUAUUUCACUCAGCAUAAAGGUUCAUCCAUGUUGCAGCAUAUGUCAGAAUGUUCUUCAUUUUUAAGGCUGAAUAACAACCUAAUUGAUAAUAGUAUUUUCUUUUUGGAGCAUUAAAAAUCAUCUCCUCUGGUAGAGAUGCAGCUCUACAAACAAACUAAUCAUGUUGUUUUCCAACAUUGCCUUACUGUCAGCUAAACAGUGAAAAACAGCACAGAAAAAUAAGCAAAUGCUAGUCUGUCUACCAAGGGGCAGUAAUAAACUCCAUUUCAUUUUGGGGAAAUAAACUAUAAAUAGACUCGUUGUAGUCAACAAAUAACAUCUAAAAUCAAAAAGAACCUAUAUUAUAGAUAUGGUUUAUUUUGGCAGAGAUUUAUAUUUUUUUUCCCCCCAGUCACAGAACUUUUUAUGAUACCAACAAUUUACAGUCUAGCUUUGGGCUGGCAUCUACUACAGAGAAAGCUCUCCUAAACUUCCCUAUACACAUUCUUUCCUGGAUAAGUAUAAUUGCUCAUGAAUGUCCAUUAUAUUACAGUGCUUUGUCCAAAUGCAGCAUAACAGACUUUUAUGUUAAUUUACAAAGGCCCUGGAGUCAUUUUCGUUUCACCACAAAACAGAAAUUUGGACGUAUCAGUGAUGUGUGUGAGGCAUGGAUGCUAAAGCUGGGUGCAGGUCUCUGGAUGGGUGGAUGGCUCCAAUUGCCAGAAACAGAUGGUAUCCUGGAGGGAAGGAGAUAUUUUUAAGUUUUGUUUGGACCCCAAAAUAUUUCUUAUCUUUUGGGAAAAUGUAACCAUUCUCGAGUCUCUAGUGAAGUGGGCUUUAGCCCGUGUGGAGAGUUUCCAAUGGCUGCUAUAACAGAUGACCACAGCUUACUGACCUCUUGCAUCUCUCUUUUAAGGACCCUGUGAUAAAUUUGGCCCACCAGAUAAUCCAGGAUAAUUUUUCAAUUCAAGAUCCUUAACUUAAUCACACCUGCAACAAAAAAGUCAUCUGCCAUCUAAAGUCACAUAUUCAUAUGUCCCACGGAUCAGAAUGUGGAUUCUUGUGACAUUAUUCAACUGAUCACACUGUAUAUGUAAAACCUACCUACGAAAGCUUCAGCCAAACAGCCCUGGGGUUGGCCACUUCUGGAGGUGUAAAGAGGGGAUAGAUUGGGAAAGGUGCAAUGGAGCCUGGGGACAGGGGUGGAAGUACGGAGUAUUGGAAAUACUGGCCAGUGGUUACCUUGUUGCAGCUCUUUAUCUUGCAUGAAUUGCAGCUCUUUAUCUUACAUGAAUUUGUACAUAUGUAAGAAACCACUGAGGUGAACACUCUAUAUUCAUGCACUUUAUACAGCUUCGCAAAGUAUAUAUUAUAUCUCAAUAUAAAGAAACACUUUGCUGCCCACUAGAGAGCUCAGGUUUCUGAGCUUCUGCAGACAGGACACGAGGCCGUCUGGGAUGUUGACUCAAGCACUUCUGAGAGUAAGUGAAGCAGGCAGGAGAUCAGAAGCACCCAUAUGCACUGACGGGGGUGCAGGGGCCACAGAAUGAGUGAUGCCAUCGGAGUCACUUACUGGAGGCCAAGCAGACAGGCCCUUCCUUGGCUCCUUCCUUAGCUACUUACUGAGGGCAACAUGAAACACACUGCCACCAGGUAACUGGUGCCACCAAGAGAUAUCGACUCUAUUUACUGAGGCAGGACACAGUUUGACAUUCUCAACCAAAAUGGUUUAAAAUAAAACAUGUUCUGCUCUUAAAAAGAUUGAGUCUGGUAGUGAUGGUGGGUGAAGGAAGAUUGGCUAGGAGAAGUCAAAAUAGAUGUUGGAAAAGGAACGCAAUCAAAACAGACACAUUUCUGUUCAGCUUCUAAGCUGAUGUCCUCACUCACUUAUAAUCGAUAAUGAAGUUUACCAAACAACAGGGCAUGCCUCUAUCAAUAACAGUUCACACAGCUCAGGCUGUGGUUCACACAGGACCCAAGCUGAGUGUUUUCAUAUACAUUCAGCAGUGCUCAACCUCCCUGUGUGUCUGAAUUCUAGGGGUCCCAACCCUGACCCCCAAAGUUUGUGGUACCUUGGAUCUAAGGACUGGGGUUUUUAUAAAGCUCCCUAAGUGACCGGAUUGAGUGGCCAAGGAUGAGACCACAGCAAUCCUAUUCAGUUGUUAUAACGAGUUCUAUGAAAGUUCUAUGAAAUUGUCCUCAGGGAGAAACUGAGGCUCACUUGAGGGGUUGAGACUCUUUCCGUCUCUGGCUUGUAGGUGACCUUCCAGGAUCUGUGUAGCAUUUUGCUCUUGCUUUCUCUGAUGUGUGCAAUUAAGUAAAAGAAAAACUGCAGCUUCACAGCAAAAACACAAAGUCCUGAACGUUACAAUUUAGUAAGAAAUCAUAUUCUAUAAUAACCUGCAAUUGUAUUUUGAUAGGAAUUCCAUAAAAAAAAAAGGCACCUGCACAGAUUCUCAGAUUAUGAGAGUGGCAUUCUCAGAUAUGGAAGGAAUGACAGUAAUUGGAGGGAACUUUGGGACAGAGAAAGGCCCAAGUGUCCAGAGGGGCCUCGCAGGAGAGAGAAAGAACCUCAGUGCUCUGAGCUCCAGUCCUCUCGACACGUAGUAAUAUCAUAUCCCAACAAGAAUUCCAAAAACAGUUUUCUACAGCCCACAUUUUGUCAUCAGGAUCUGAAAAUCACUGAAGGUUUGGAGAUUACAGAUGAGAGUUCAGAAAGUGGACAGAAAAAGCUUGAAGGGCAGCUAUUAUAUUGGCCUGAUGUCCAACCUGUCUUCCGGCAGCUGGAGAGCCAAAGAUGGCCUUACAGCCUCUGAGACGCCAAACAGGAAAAAAGGCUUACUAAAAGGGGUUAUAACCUACAACUCCUACAAGAGAUGCAGCUCUGCCAGGCUGAAGCUCCAUGUGCAUUUUCCUCCAGGGCGGUUCAUCUUAUACGAGGCCAAUCCUCCCUGUUCCAAGAGGGUACAUUCUCCCCCAGAAGAGGCAGUGGCCUCGAAGCCAAGUUACGCCUUCACCUGAGCAAGAUGAACUGCCUUUUCUUCCAAAAUGGUAGUUUCCCAUAUCUCAAAAAAUGGACAUGGAGUCCCAGCUCCACCACAGCGCCCCAAGAAUCCUCCAAACGGGAACUUAGAAUAUUAUACCCUAUUAUUUUGUUCAUGAUAUAUCAUGAACAUGUUUUUCCAGAAAAGAUUCUUUCGCACUUUGAUUUUUAAUGAUUAUACUGUAUUCUACCAUGUGGAUAUAACAACUUUCACCAAAGCCAAUCUGUUGGACAUUUGGUUUAUUUCCAACAUUGGCUAUUAUAAGCUAUAAUAAAUAACCAUGUAGCCAAAACCACAGCAUAUUCCUUAUUUUCUUAGAGAAAUUCCUAGAAGUGGAAUUACUGGCCAGAUAGGACAGACAGUUUUUAGGCUCUUGACAGAAACUCCCAAACUCCCCACUACAGAACUGUUUGCGAUAUUCUCUGCACCAGCCCUGGUGAGAAUAAAUGGCACAACUUUUAAUGAAUUACUAGCUAGCUCUUGAAA